rnacentral:rRNA from 1 species
AUUGAACGCUGGCGGUAUGCUUAACACAUGCAAGUCGAACGGUAACAGGCCUUCGGGCGCUGACGAGUGGCGGACGGGUGAGUAACGCGUAGGAAUCUGCCUCAUAGUGGGGGACAACGUGGGGAAACUCACGCUAAUACCGCAUACGCCCUACGGGGGAAAGCGGGGGAUCUUCGGACCUCGCGCUAUGAGAUGAGCCUGCGUUAGAUUAGCUAGUUGGUAGGGUAAAGGCCUACCAAGGCGACGAUCUAUAGCUGGUCUGAGAGGACGAUCAGCCACACUGGGACUGGGACACGGCCCAGACUCCUACGGGAGGCAGCAGUGGGGAAUAUUGGACAAUGGGCGCAAGCCUGAUCCAGCAAUACCGCGUGUGUGAAGAAGGCCCUAGGGUUGUAAAGCACUUUCAAUUGGGAGGAAAACCUGCCGGUCAAUACCCGGCAGCUUGACAUUACCUUUAGAAGAAGCACCGGCUAACUCCGUGCCAGCAGCCGCAGUAA